rnacentral:rRNA from 1 species
AGUGAACGCUGGCGGUAGGCCUAACGCAUGCAAGUCGAACGGCAGCACAGGAGAGCUUGCUCUCUGGGUGGCGAGUGGCGGACGGGUGAGGAAUACAUCGGAAUCUACUCUGUCGUGGGGGAUAACGUAGGGAAACUUACGCUAAUACCGCAUACGACCUACGGGUGAAAGCAGGGGACCUUCGGGCCUUGCGCGAUUGAAUGAGCCGAUGUGGGAUUAGCUAGUUGGCGGGGUAAAGGCCCACCAAGGCGACGAUCCGUAGCUGGUCUGAGAGGAUGAUCAGCCACACUGGAACUGAGACACGGUCCAGACUCCUACGGGAGGCAGCAGUGGGGAAUAUUGGACAAUGGGCGCAAGCCUGAUCCAGCCAUACCGCGUGGGUGAAGAAGGCCUUCGGGUUGUAAAGCCCUUUUGUUGGGAAAGAAAUCCAGCUGGCUAAUACCCGGUUGGGAUGACGGUACCCAAAGAAUAAGCACCGGCUAACUUCGUGCCAGCCGCCGCGGUAA